rnacentral:tRNA from 1 species
CAGGUCGGGCAGACCGUGGUAGGCGACCAGCUGGUCGGGCUGGGCGCGGGCGAGCCAGUCGAACGCGCGCGCGUCCGACUCGUCCCUGGCCCGUCC